rnacentral:rRNA from 1 species
UACGUAGGGGGCAAGCGUUGUCCGGAAUUAUUGGGCGUAAAGAGCGUGUAGGCGGUCCGGUAAGUCAGCUGUGAAAGUCAAGGGCUCAACCCUUGAAUGCCGGUUGAUACUGUCGGGCUAGAGUCCGGAAGAGGCGGGUGGAAUUCCCGGUGUAGCGGUGAAAUGCGCAGAUAUCGGGAGGAACACCAAUGGCGAAGGCAGCUCGCUGGGACGGUACUGACGCUGAGACGCGAAAGCGUGGGGAGCAAACAGG